rnacentral:rRNA from 1 species
UACGAAGGGGGGCUAGCGUUGCUCGGAAUCACUGGGCGUAAAGGGUGCGUAGGCGGGUCUUUAAGUCAGGGGGUGAAAUCCUGGAGCUCAACUCCAGAACUGCCUUUGAUACUGAGGAUCUUGAGUUCGGGAGAGGUGAGUGGAACUGCGAGUGUAGAGGUGAAAUUCGUAGAUAUUCGCAAGAACACCAGUGGCGAAGGCGGCUCACUGGCCCGAUACUGACGCUGAGGCACGAAAGCGUGGGGGAGCAAACCG